rnacentral:rRNA from 1 species
AGUUUGAUCCGUGGACUCAGGACAACGGCUGGCGGCGUGCCUAACACAUGCAAGUCGAACGGAGCUGUUUUGGACGGAGACUUCGGUCAAAGACCAUAACAGCUUAGUGGCGGACGGGUGAGUAACGCGUGAGUAACCUGCCGUUCAGAGGGGGACAACAGUUGGAAACGACUGCUAAUACCGCAUAAUGUAUAUAGGAGGCAUCUUCUGUAUACCAAAGGAGCAAUCCGCUGAAAGAUGGCCUCGCGUCUGAUUAGCUAGUUGGUGAGGUAACGGCCCACCAAGGCGACGAUCAGUAGCCGGACUGAGAGGUUGAACGGCCACAUUGGGACUGAGAUACGGCCCAGACUCCUACGGGAGGCAGCAGUGGGGAAUAUUGGGCAAUGGGCGCAAGCCUGACCCAGCAACGCCGCGUGAAGGAAGAAGGCUUUCGGGUUGUAAACUUCUUUUGUCAGGGACGAGUAGAAGACGGUACCUGACGAAUAAGCCACGGCUAACUACGUG